UGCAAAGUUGUUUGAAAGUGCAAGG
rnacentral:piRNA from 2 species